UACGUAGGGACCAAGCGUUGUUCGGAUUUACUGGGCGUAAAGGGUGCGUAGGCGGCAAUUCAAGUCAGUUGUGAAAUCUCCGAGCUUAACUCGGAACGGUCAACUGAUACUGUUUUGCUAGAGUACAGAAGGGGCAAUCGGAAUUCUUGGUGUAGCGGUGAAAUGCGUAGAUAUCAAGAGGAACACCUGAGGUGAAGACGGGUUGCUGGGCUGAUACUGACGCUGAGUCACGAAAGCUAGGGUAGCAAACGGG
rnacentral:rRNA from 1 species